AGGACUUGGCGGUGCCCUAUUCCACCUAGAGGAGCCUGUUCUUUAAUCGAUAAUCCACGAUUCACCUUACCAUUUCUCGCCAAAACAGCCUAUAUACCGCCGUCGUAAACUUACCCUUUGAAGGAAUUAUAGAAAGUUUAAAGGUACCCGCCAAAACGUCAGGUCAACGUGUAGCAAAUGAAAUGGAAAGAAAUGGGCUACAUUUUCUAUUAUAGACUAAACGGAUAAUCAAUAUGAAAUCUGAUAAUGAAGGAGGAUUUAGUAGUAAAAAGAAAUCAUCAAAUUCUUUUUAACAUGGCCCUAGGGCGCGCACACACCGCCCGUCACCCUCUUCGACUAUAUUUACUUUAUACUUAAUAAACUAUUACAAAACUAGAAGAGGUAAGUCGUAACAUGGUAAGUAUACCGGAAGGUGUACUUGG
rnacentral:rRNA from 1 species